rnacentral:rRNA from 1 species
CAGUCGCCACGGUAAUACGAAGGGGGCUAGCGUUGUUCGGAAUUACUGGGCGUAGAGCGCACGUAGGCGGAUAUUUAAGUCAGGGGUGAAAUCCCAGAGCUCAACUCUGGAACUGCCUUUGAUACUGGGUAUCUUGAGUAUGGAAGAGGUGAGUGGAAUUCCGAGUGUAGAGGUGAAAUUCGUAGAUAUUCGGAGGAACACCAGUGGCGAAGGCGGCUCACUGGUCCAUUACUGACGCUGAGGUGCGAAAGCGUGGGGAGCAAACAGGAUUAGAUACCCCUGUAGUCCCUGUCUCUUAUAA